GUGGGGAAUAUUGGACAAUGGGCGAAAGCCUGAUCCAGCCAUGCCGCGUGUGUGAAGAAGGUCUUCGGAUUGUAAAGCACUUUAAGUUGGGAGGAAGGGCAGUAAGUUAAUACCUUGCUGUUUUGACGUUACCGACAGAAUAAGCACCGGCUAACUUCGUGCCAGCAGCCGCGGUAAUACGAAGGGUGCAAGCGUUAAUCGGAAUUACUGGGCGUAAAGCGCGCGUAGGUGGUUUUGUAAGUUGGAGGUGAAAUCCCCGGGCUCAACCUUGGAACUGCCUCCAAAACUGCAUGACUAGAGUACGGUAGAGGGGAGUGGAAUUUCCUGUGUAGCGGUGAAAUGCGUAGAUAUAGGAAGGAACACCAGUGGCGAAGGCGACUACCUGGACUGAUACUGACACUGAGGUGCGAAAGCGUGGGGAGCAAACAGGAUUAGAUACCCCGGUAGUCC
rnacentral:rRNA from 1 species